GCGGCGUUCGACGCCGCGGCGACCGGCGACUGCGAGACGCGCAGCGCGCUCCUCGCCUCCACCUUUGACUUAACCACCAGGCCGGACGUUCAAGUUCCUCAAUCCUCAGGCACUCUACGGCGCUGAUCACCGAGCCGGCCGUCACGCAAGCCAUUUGAGGCGGACAUCCCCGCAGGCUGAUCGCCGACGCCGUCUCGUCUUCGUGCGCGAAUUCGCCGUCGCGGGCGUGCGCUUCUGCCGCAAGUGCCGCGUCUGUACUCUGCGGAUCCGUACAGUAUGCUGGUUACAGUGGUUACCACUCCAUGUUACAUAUUGGCACCUGGUCCUCAAUUUGUGCCUCUGCAAUUCUGGAUCAUUCUAAUUGGAAACUUCAUUGCGUCCAGUCUUCCAUCGGCAAAUUUGUUUGGAUUUGGUUGGCAAAGGAGACUUCGCCAAGCUUUUAUUGAGAAAGAUUUACUGGUGGUGGGCCUGGUGGCCAGCCAAAUUGACAUAUGGGAGCAAGUGCCAAGUGAUGAAGGCGACAUGAUAUUUCUUUAGUAACAUCAUACACAUCUGCAAGGAUUCUGCACUCAAGUGUUUAUCUCAUUCAGUUGUGUCACGGGUAUUUUAGAUUGCUAUUACUUGUAAUAGGUGAUUGCAUCGCAUCAGGAAAACUAUCUCGAAUAUCUUAUUGGAACAAUGAUGCCGACGUGUGAUUAGA